ACUCUAGACAAUGCUCGGAAUCAUUUGAGCAACGCUUCCGAAAUUCUGUCAAGAAUAGCAGUACUUGCAGCGGCUAGUUUACAACAGGCGGAGUUACUUGCAGCUGUCAGCCUUAUUUCUCAGGCAUCCUUGGUGAUUUCUAAAAAUGGGGAUCUGUCUCACUUUGUGAUUACGACGUCAGUCGCGGCACGACUGUCACCACAGGCAACAGCAAAGAAAAUCCCACGCUAGAAAGUGUUUUCGAUCAUAUAAAAACGUUUCAGACGACGGCAACCAAUGAGUUUUAGAAUUUGCAGAAACAACGACUACGAAGUCACGAAAAUGUGCAUGUCGUCUUGACUGCGAACGUGUUGGAAGUCUGAACUGUUCAUUCGGCAAACACAAACUUUGUUGUACAAAAGAUCCUAGGCAGUGGCGUUUGAAGAGUCACAACAAAAGUGCGGCAGAUCAAUGAGCGAAAAUCAUCUCAACAAGCGAACAAAAUGUACAAGUGUACAAGUACAAAAGAAGCCAAUCGCUCAAAACAGCGUUGAAAUAGACGUGCGUACUCCUAUCGUUAGAGGUUGCCAAAUAACAGACUGCGUCAAUCGCAUACUAGAAGUGACAGAGCAAAUGUCGAAAAUGAUACGAAGCUUGACACAACUAUAAAUCAAUCGUUUCAGUUUUCUGAUAUGACGAUGGAAGAUGUCUGUUUCGAGUUGACGGUAGAAUUCGUCAAAUUUAUGUCUGAAUGGGAUGUCCAGGAAGACGACGUAGUAGAAAAUGUAAUGACAGCUCUCCUAACAAGUGUCAACAUGCAUCAAGUUGAAAACAAUGCAGAUGGCAACUGUCUUUUUCAAGCGUGUUCUUCUCUUAUAUAUGGUUCAGCACGCUACCAUUCUCGAGUUAGAGCAGAGGCUGUACGUUUCAUUCAAGAAAAUUAACGCCUUUUUAAGGACGCUGUUCUUUCUGUGCAAGACAGCACCUACAACACUAAGGAAAGAAGCACCAAAAUUAAAUAGAAGAUCAAGAUGCGACAGCAAAUGACACAAUGAUUGUUUGAAAUACGGUACAUCGAAAGAAUGUCCACAAUUGGUGAAUGGGGAGAUGCAUUAUGUAUUGUGGCACUAGCAAUGGUUCAUAAGCUACAGUUGUCUUUGUUCGUUUCACCUGCAUGCUACAGAGUAGAGUUUAAUGCUGACGAUGCUUCGACAAAACGUCAUAUUGCAUUGGCAAAAUUAAACAACAGACAGUUUCGAGCUGUUGUUCCAGACAAUGUUUGUGACAGUCACUACAAGCUGCACUUCCCGGUACCAUCCGUUGCACUGAAUUCUGUGAAUGAAGCCAGCGUUUCCAAACUAACACUCCACGAGUACUGUUCUCUGUCGGGAAAAAGGGUAAUAUGUCUAACUAUAUAAUUCAUUACUAAUCGCCAAAUUUAUUAAUAAAUUAAAAGUUAGUUAUAUUGCUCUUUGCAACUCUUCAUAAAUACAUUGUCAGCUG